AGCAGCCGCGGUAAUUCCAGCUCCAAUAGCGUAUAUUAAAGUUGUUGCAGUUAAAAAGCUCGUAGUUGAAUUUCGGAAUCUGUCCGUUGGUCGGGCUUCACUGUUCGUACUGGCGUGAUGGGUUCUUACCUUCUGAAUAACCAGCAUGCCAUUCACUUGGUGCGUUGGGGAAGCAGGACUAUUACCUUGAAAAAAUUAGAGUGCUCAAAGCAGGCUAGUGCCUGAAUAUAUUAGCAUGGAAUAAUAAAAUAGGACGGCAUGGUUCUAUUUUGUGGUUUCUAGGAUCACCGUAAUGAUUAAUAGGGAUAGUUGGGGGCAUUAGUAUUCAAUUGUCAGAGGUGAAAUUCUUGGAUUUAUUGAAGACUAACUUCUGCGAAAGCAUUUGCCAAGGAUGUUUUCAUUAAUCAAGAACGAAAGUUAGGGGAUCGAAGACGAUCAGAUACCGUCGUAGUCUUAACCAUAAACUAUGCCGACUAGGGAUCGGACGAUGUUAAUUUUUAANGUAACUUCGUUCGGUCCG
rnacentral:rRNA from 1 species